rnacentral:rRNA from 1 species
AGUGAACGCUGGCGGUAGACCUAACACAUGCAAGUCGAACGGCAGCACAGUAAGAGCUUGCUCUUACGGGUGGCGAGUGGCGGACGGGUGAGGAAUACAUCGGAAUCUACUUUUUCGUGGGGGAUAACGUAGGGAAACUUACGCUAAUACCGCAUACGACCUACGGGUGAAGGCAGGGGAUCUUCGGACCUUGCGCGAUUGAAUGAGCCGAUGUCGGAUUAGCUAGUUGGCGGGGUAAAGGCCCACCAAGGCGACGAUCCGUAGCUGGUCUGAGAGGAUGAUCAGCCACACUGGAACUGAGACACGGUCCAGACUCCUACGGGAGGCAGCAGUGGGGAAUAUUGGACAAUGGGCGCAAGCCUGAUCCAGCCAUACCGCGUGGGUGAAGAAGGCCUUCGGGUUGUAAAGCCCUUUUGUUGGGAAAGAAAAGCAGCAGGUUAAUACCCCGCUGUUCUGACGGUACCCAAAGAAUAAGCACCGGCUAACUUCGU